UCCCUGGUGGCUUAGAGGGUAAAGCUUCUGCCUGCAAUGUGGGAGACCCAGGUUUGAUCCCUGACUUGGGAA
rnacentral:tRNA from 1 species